CUUUGCUGGAGCUGGCUGAAAUAGGAGCAAAUUAGUCUCAUUCUGGAAAAGGCAGGGCAUGAUAAAGGACCCCCUAAAAGGUUUCCAGAGCUCCGUGCCUGAAUGUUUUGCAGUCCGUGUAAUUAUCUGACUUGGUAUGGGACAGAAGCCAAGAUGUAGGCCAGGAGAACUGCAUGUAUCACUGAUUUGACCGGAACAAGAGCUUAGUGAGAUGUGUCCGGAGUUUCUUCUUGGCCUCACCGACUUCAAGAAUGAAGCCACGGACCUCGCGACCCGGUUAUUAGAGAGAUCUGCUUACCACAUGGCGAUGGGGUGGCCAAAGCACUAUUUUCAUACCACACCUCACCAAGGUUUGCCUGCAGACAUCAGUUUUCAGUCACUGCCAUCAAACACAUUAGCAGAUAUGUAUGAAGAAGCUACCUCUGUUGGAGAAGUAUGUGUAUCAAAAAUUAUACUUACCACAUUUUGUCUUAAGGAGAGUACCAUAUAAGAUGGUAAUGUUUGUGAUGUGAUGGGUAACAGCUGGCAGGCUAAACUACAUUCUUGGAGAAUGGAUUAUUUAAUUCUAGGCUUUUGAUUUGCUGAUUGGGGAGUGCAAUUUUGGGCCAAGAGCCAGACUGUUCAGAAUAAUACAGGAAGGCUGAGAACCUGCCUUCAUUUCUCGAACUUUCCCCACACUGUACUUAUUGCCUCCUCUAAACAAACAAACAAACAACAGCAACAACAAAAAACUUCAGUAAAGUUUCAGGAUACAAAAUCAAGGUACAAAAAUUAGUAGCAUCUCUAACACCAAUAACAUUCAAGCUAAGAGCCAAAUCAAGAAUGCGAUCCCAUUUAAAAUAGCCACAAGAAAAAUAAAAUACCUAGGAAUACACAUAACCAAGGAAGUGAAAGACCUCUACAAAGAGAACUAUAAAACACUGCUAAAAGAAGUCGCAGAUGACAAAAACAAAUGAAAACACAUUCCAUGUUCAUGAACUGGAAGACUCAACAUUCUUAAAAUGACCAUACUGCCCAAAGCAAUCUACAGAUUCAAUGCUUUUCCUAUCAAACUAUCAAUGCCAUUUUUCACAGAACUAGAAUAAACUAUUCUAAAAUCCAUAUGGAACCAAAAAAGAACCCAAAUAGCCAAAGCAAUCCUAACCAAAAGAACAAAACCAGAAGCAUCACAUUACCCAACUUCAAACUAUACUAUAAGGCUACAGUAACCAAAAACAGCAUGGUACUGGUACAAAAACAGAUACAUAGAGUAAUGGAAUAGAAUAGAGGCCCCUAAAAUGAAGCUGCACACCUACAACAACCUGAUAUUUGACAAAACAAGCAAUGAGGAAAGGACUUCCUAUUCAAUAAAUGGUGCUGGAAUAACUGGCUAGCCAUGUGCAGAAGAAUGAAACUGGACCCCUACCUUUCACCAUCACCACAUAAAAAAAAUUAACUCAACAUGGAUUAAGGAUUUAAAUGUAAGACCUACAACUAUAAAACCUAGAAGAAAACCUUGUAAAUACUAUUCUGGACAUCAGCCUUGGCAAGUAAUUCUUGACUAAGUUUUCAACUGCAACAAAAACAAAAAUGGACAAAUGGAACCUAUUUAAACUAAAGAACUUCUGCACAGUGAAAGAAACUAUCAACAGACUAAACAGACAACCUAUGGAAUGGGAGAAAAUAUUCAGAAACUAUGCAUCCAACAAAGAUCCACUAUCCAGAAUCUACAAACAAUGUAAGCCAUUUAACAAGCAAAAACAAAAUAACCCAAUUUAAAAAAAUGACAAAAGGACAUGAACAGACAUUUCUCAAAAGAAGACAUACAAGUGGCAAAAAAAAAAACACAUGAAAAAAUGCUCCACAUCACUAAUCAUCAGAAAAAUGCAAAUCAAAACCACAAUGAGAUCCCAUCUCACACCAGUCGGAAUGUCUAUUAUUAAAAAAUAAAAAAAAAAAAAACAGAUGCUGGCAAGGCUGUGGAGAAAAGGGAAUGCUUACACACUGUUGUUAGAAUGUAAAUUCGUUCAGCUACUGUAUAAAGCAGUUUGGAGAUUUCUCAAAGAACUUAAAACAGAACUACCAUUUGACCCAACAAUCCCAUUACUGGGUAUAUAUCCACAAGAAAACAAAUCGUUCUACUAAAAAGACACAUGCACUUGCACGUGCAUCACAGUCCUAUCACAACAGCAAAGACAGAAACUCAACCUAGGUACCCAUCAACAGUGGAUUGGAUUAAAAAUUAUGGUACAUAUGCACCAUGGAGUACUACACAGCCAUAAAAGGAAGGAAAUCAUGUCCUUUGCAGGAACAUGGAUGCUAUUGAAGGUCAUUAUCCUAUUAUCCUAAGUGGAUUAACACAGAAACAGAAAACAAAAUCCCUCAUGUUCUCACUUAUAAGUGGGAACAUUGGGUACUCAUGGACAUAAAGAUGGCAACAGUAGACACUGGGAACUACAAAACAAACAAACAAACAAACAAACAAAACAAGAAGCUGCCUUGGUAGACUGUCACACUAAAUUGUUACUGUUGCUUCAAUUUAACAUCUAUUAACUAUAACAAAAUGGUUUAUAAAAUAAAAAAUUAGACAUCAUUUGUAGCAAUUUCUUCAGUAUUUAAACAUUCGUGGAAGAUAGAGAAAAUAAUAUGGGCUUAAAACAGAAUCUUCUCUCCUUUUCCCACAAAUCACCAUGUUUUAUGUGUUCUCAAACAAAACCAUCUGAUGCCAUGAAGCUAAAUAUUUUCAACUGAAAUAUAAGAGUAGUCUAUAAUAUUAUCAAAUAAGGGUACUAUUUUAAUAAUGUACCAAAAGAAUCACUGGGGUUUGAAUUCUAUUUCAUGAAAAUCUAAUUUUCUUCUUAAUUCUGCAGCCCAG
rnacentral:lncRNA from 1 species